CAAAGCAAGGCACUGAAAAUGCCUAGAUGAGUAUAUUAACUCCAUAAACA
rnacentral:tRNA from 1 species